rnacentral:rRNA from 1 species
CGCCUCCUGCGGUAUCACAGGAGGUCUCGUCUGCACAAUGACCUGCGGGUUCAAUUGCCGCGGUACCCUGACCGUGCUAAGGUAGCGUAAUCAAUAGCCUAUUAAUUGUUGGCCUGUAUGAAUGGCACGACGCUGGUGACGCUGUCUCUGCGGUGUUUUGUUGAAUUUAACCUUCUGGUGAAAAGGCUAGGAUGUUCCUAAAAGACGAUAAGACCCUGUCGAACUUUAGGCUAAUCGCCGACGGGUUUCCUGUCGGCGACAAACCUUUGGUUGGGGAAACCGGGGACCAAAAAAAGCGUCCGCCCACAUACUGCUUAAGCCGAAGGGUCAAUAAGUAAAAGAGGUGUGGUAAAGAUCUGACGGGAUAAGAGUUAUUAGAGUUGAUCCGGAGUUUUAGCUUUCGACUAUGGGAAAAGUUACCGCAGGGAUAACAGCGUAAUCCUCUCGGAGAGACCACAUUAAUGAGGGGGUUUGCGACCUCGAUGUUGGCUUGGGGCGUCCCGGAAGUGCAGGAGCUUCCAAGGGUUGGUCUGUUCGACCACUAAUGCCCUACAU